GCAGAUCGUCUUCCUGAUUAAAGAAAACAAGCAGAAGACGGCGGAACUAAAGGAGAUGUCCAACCAGCUUCAAGACAGCAAAGCUACUGUUGAGAAGACAGAAUGGGAUCUCCAAUAUAUGGACCAAAUGAAUCAGCUGCUCCAAACAAAGUUCGAUGAAGCUGUGAAAAAAAAUAAAGAAAUCCUCCAACAGACGGAAGAACAGGAGACAAAGCAAAGAGACUUGCAGCACAAACUCAAAGUCACGGAGGAAAAAUACAGAAUGCUGAAAGAAAAGUUGGAUGAAGCACUGUGCCAAAAUAAAGUCCUUCUUCAAGAGAAAGUGCAACAGCAAGAAACAUUGAAAGAAGAGAAACGUAUUGUCAAAGACUUUGAGGGUAAAAAUCUAAAACUGCAACAGUUUUGUAAUGAACUGAAAGACAAAACAGGUGAACUAGAAGGGGAAAAGGAAAAACUGGACAAAAGAUGCUCACAGAUGCAGAAAAGGAUCGAGCACAUGGCGAGAAACAACUCAGAGCUCACUAAGGGGAUAUUGUUGGAAUACAACAACUUGAAGCGCAAACACACUGAAAUGCAGGCGCAAAAGCAACACCAAGACAAAAUACAUGACGACCUGCAGCGUACUCUCCAAGACAUCCACAGAAGAAAUGAGGAGUUAGAAGACAUGUACAAAGAAGUACAAGAGAGAAAUGCAGACAUGCACAAGGACAAGCUAAUGCAGGAGGCAACAUCCAAAGAACUCAAAGAAAAGCUUGAAGAAAAACAAGCAACAUUAGAAGAGGUGGAGCAAACAUGCAAGAAACUUGACAAGCAAAAUGCAGAAACAAUCGAUCAGUUGAGAAUCCUCAUCCUGGAGAAAAAGGCGCUUGUGGAAAAGUCCAUGAAAAAAAAGAAAAAAUGCUUCCGCUUGCCCUGGAGGAGGGACUCUACUGCUUCACCUGAUGUAGCCUCGUCUUGCUCCACCUCUGUCCUUCCCCCCAACCAGUCCCGGCAGUUGACUGUCCCCUCCUGAGCCUGGUUCUGCCGGAGGUUUCUGCCCGUUUAAAGGCAGUUUUUCCUCCC
ensembl:lncRNA